rnacentral:rRNA from 1 species
AUGUUGAGUCUCGCUUGGACUCGUCGCGGCGACGCGGAGGCACCACCCACCCCAACCCCAACCUGGGGUGGCUGCUCUCUCCACGGACUCGACAUUGAGGUGGUGAGGGAGAAGGACACUGUCCCUGGCGGCAACGGCAACGGGCUAGUUGCAAUCCCUUCGUAUUUUUGGGGCGCCCGGCUGGCGAAGCGGCAAGAUGGAGGCUUCCCCUUGUACACGGGCUACUCGGCGGCGAGGGCCUUGGUCGGCAAGGGGGCGGGGGCCAUGGCGGAUCUGAGAAGGCUGUCUCGCGAGGCGGAAGACAUGCUGGCGGAGAUGUUUGCUAGCAUUAGCAGUGAUGGCGGAGGCGACGCGGCACGGCCCAGGGUGGUGCAACUGCAACUGUCGCCGGAGCUGGCGCUGUGGAAAAGCACGCAGCACGCAAUCGGCAACGUGUUGCCCACUAAGGGCGCCGGGCUGGUCCAAGCCACGCCGCAGGUUCUCGCCUUGCUGGGCGCCGCCGACUGGCCUGAGGCGAUGACAACAACCAACGCCCUAUCUGGUAGCGGCAUGGCGAACCUGCUGAUUGGCGCCUCCGACGUGCGCACCCUCUUCUCCAACUACGUGGUGGACAUGGCAUUUUAUUACGAGCACGGGUACCACAAGGUGUUCCCCUCCUUCAGCCGCCUCCUGCGCGACGGGCUCGCCGACGCCCGCUCGCUACGAACCCCUGGUGGCCAGCAGCGACCCGAGGCCGUCGCCAUCGGCGCGUCCUACAUCCGAGCCAAGAUCGCAUUGGAGGCGGCGCACAGGACGCUCCUCAAGGACCGGUCGGGGCAGAUGGACCGCCACGCCGCCCAGGUCAUGUCCCUGUGCGAGAGCAGCAUCCUCGGCAUGGGGGCUGAGGCCAUAGCCCGGGGCUUCGAUGUCGGCGCCGUCACGAGCGACCUCGUCUUCAGCUCGCCCGGCACCGAUGUCAUCGAUGUGGGCAGUGACCUGGUAAACUCCGAGGUCAUGAACUCGUUCCUCAACGUGGCCGACAUCGCCGCCACAGGCGUGGUGAGCGAGACGGCGCUGCGGGCCAUCUACGACGCCUACGCUGCCACGGGAGCUCGGAUGUACACUCAGAGGUGGCACGAGCCUGUGGCCCGGAUGUGCAUCACCUUGUACACUUGGCACCUGCACAACGACCGGCACAUGUUCCUCCGCCGUGCCCUCCUAGGAUGGCCCAAGGCCCGCAAGUCCCCGGCGCGGCCCCAGCGAGAGGCCGACUUCGACGAGGUCUUCGACACCGACUUUCAUACCACCGGCUUCAGCAGGCCCCUUGACGCUGAGUAUGCCUGCAAUGGGGAAGAAACCUGCGACCACGUCCGGCGCUUCCUCAAAGUAAAAGGAGACCAAGACCACCUGCUGGCCGCCCUUUGGUCGUCCAUUGUCACCGGUCCGCUGGAGUACGUCCGGAAGGGCGAGGUGGACGAGCAGCGUGAGAAACACCUCAUUGAAUCCUCGCGCCUGCAAAUGGUCCAGCUCUUCUCCAAGGGCCUCAUCGACGAAAUGGUUUGGCUCGUCGCCCAUGCAAGCCACCAUGCCUGGCAGGUGAACUAUCUGUUUGAGGCCGCCAUGUUUGGCAGCAUACUGGACGGGGGCGAGUUGAUAGGCAAGCUCGAUCGGGCGGAAUAG